rnacentral:rRNA from 2 species
GAACGCUGGCGGCGUGCUUAACACAUGCAAGUCGAGCGAGAAGCUUGACGAUGAUCCUUCGGGUGAUUCGUUAAGUAGACAGCGGCGGACGGGUGAGUAACGCGUGGGUAACCUGCCCUAUGCAGGGGGAUAACGCACUGAAAAGUGCGCUAAUACCGCAUAAGACCACAGCAUCACAUGAUGCAGAGGUAAAAACUCCGGUGGCAUAGGAUGGACCCGCGUCUGAUUAGCUAGUUGGUGAGGUAACGGCUCACCAAGGCGACGAUCAGUAGCCGACCUGAGAGGGUGAUCGGCCACAUUGGGACUGAGACACGGCCCAAACUCCUACGGGAGGCAGCAGUGGGGAAUAUUGCACAAUGGGGGAAACCCUGAUGCAGCGACGCCGCGUGAAGGAAGAAGGUUUUCGGAUCGUAAACUUCUAUUCAGCAGGGAAGA